rnacentral:rRNA from 1 species
CCUACGGGUGGCAGCAGUGAGGAAUAUUGGUCAAUGGGAGAGAUCCUGAACCAGCCAAGCCGCGUGAGGGAAGACGGUACAGUGGGUCGUAAACCUCUUUUGUCGGAGAACAAAACCCGGGACGUGUCCCGGGCUGCGUGUAUCCGAAGAAAAAGCAUCGGCUAACUCCGUGCCAGCAGCCGCGGUAAUACGGAGGAUGCGAGCGUUAUCCGGAUUUAUUGGGUUUAAAGGGUGCGUAGGCGGUCCGUUAAGUCAGCGGUAAAAUGGCGGGGCUCAACCCCGUCGAGCCGUUGAAACUGGCAGACUUGAGUUGGCGAGAAGUACGCGGAAUGCGCGGUGUAGCGGUGAAAUGCAUAGAUAUCGCGCAGAACUCCGAUUGCGAAGGCAGCGUACCGGCGCCAGACUGACGCUGAGGCACGAAAGCGUGGGGAUCGAACAGGAUUAGAUACCCCAGUAGUC